rnacentral:lncRNA from 1 species
GUUACGGGGGAAUUUAGCCACCAUGCCCCACGUGACCGGCACGCGCGCCCAGGAAGACUACGGCAGUCCCUUGAUCCAGCAAUCCGACCCCGAGUCGGAUAUCUUCGGCUCCGCAGCCCGACCCCGAGUCGGCUGCCCCCUGAUCCAGUCAUCCGACCCCGAGUCGGCAAUCUCCCGACAACGACAGGCUGUUCCCCUGA